rnacentral:sRNA from 1 species
GCCAGGCAUGGUGGCACGUGCCUAUAAUCCCAGCUACUCGGGAGGCUGAGGCAGAAUCACUUGAACCCAGGAGGCAGAGGUUGCCGUAAGCCAAGAUCACACCACUGCACUUCAGCUUGGGUGACAGAGCGAGACUCAGUCUCAAAAAAAAAAAAAGAAAGAGAAAUAGGGUCUUGCUCUGUCACCCAGGCUGGAGUGCAGUGGUGUGAUCAUGGCUCACUGCAGCCUCAAACUCCUGGGCUCAAGAUAUCCUCCUGCCUCUU